rnacentral:tRNA from 1 species
GAUGAGGUGGCCGGAGGGGUUAAGGCGAUGGACUGCUAAUCCAUUGUGCUCUGCAUGCAUGUGUUCGAAUCCUAUCCUCAACG